rnacentral:rRNA from 1 species
GACGAACGCUGGCGGCGUGCUUAACACAUGCAAGUCGAACGGAAAGGCCCUGCUUUUGUGGGGUGCUCGAGUGGCGAACGGGUGAGUAACACGUGAGUAACCUGCCCUUGACUUUGGGAUAACUUCAGGAAACUGGGGCUAAUACCGGAUAGGAGCUCCUGCUGCAUGGGGGGGGUUGGAAAGUUUCGGCGGUUGGGGAUGGACUCGCGGCGUAUCAGCUUGUUGGUGGAGUAGUGGCUUACCAAGGCUUUGACGGGUAGCCGGCCUGAGAGGGUGACCGGCCACAUUGGGACUGAGGUACGGCCCAGACUCCUACGGGAGGCAGCAGUGGGGAAUAUUGCACAAUGGGCGGAAGCCUGAUGCAGCAACGCCGCGUGCGGGAUGACGGCCUUCGGGUUGUAAACCGCUUUCGCCUGUGACGAAGCGUGAGUGACGGUAAUGGGUAAAGAAGCACCGGCUAACUACGUG